CCCCUACCAUCUCUCCUUUUAUCACCUGAAAACUUCAUGGAAACCACCAUAAAUUUUCAAUAAACCAACCAGCAAAAUUCGUUCUUGGUGAAACUCAAGUUGCUCAUCUAUUUUGUGGUGAUGAAGUACAGGGCAGGUGCUGCCCAGAUUUUCUAUUUUACAAACCCUCCUUGUACUACUGUUAGUAAUGUACGGGAUGGAAUUUGAAGACGGCCUUAUGAAGUAGUCUUUUUGGGAGCACUUAUAGAGAUCACAUUUGCAUAUGCACCAUGGUUUUGUAUAGUUUUGGGACUUGUACAUGAUAUAUAUGUCAUUCUUAUGUAUAUUAUUUGGAGGCUUGGAUAUUAAGACCAAAAUCUUGUAACUUGAAUUUGGUAACUUAUUUUGCUGUUUUAAGGUGUGUUAAUAACUCAAGUCUUGUAAUAUGUUAAAUUUACACUUUGUCUUAUAUAUAUGUAC